CAAAGUUUUAUUUUAUGCGAGUGUAAAUAGUGUUUUCGGGAAAGUGCGGUCGGAAAACUAACGCGAAAACGGUGAAAAGUGCCGAGAAAAUGUCUGAAACUAACGGGAAAGCUUUCGCCAAAACCAGCUUCCAAUGAAAGGGUCGUUGCUGGGGAAAGUAUUACAAAACGUCGGUAAAGAAGGACUGGAUUAAUGGAGUGAAAGGACGGAUUGGACAGGAAUAAUGACUAAAAGGAUCAACCGAGCGGAAGGAUAUGGGACGUAGCAUGGGUUGGAGGGAACGGAUUGGACUGUUUGGGACUAAGGAUCAAUAUACCGGGAGGACUAAAUGGACGUUCCGAAGAGCGAUGGAUGGAACUAAAAACGGAGCCAAAUUCAAAAAACUAGUGCAACUUAAGGAACUACCAACUAAACCAAAAAGAGGUAUGGAUAUGAAGAAACUAAAUACGAAAAGAAAACAACGUACUUAAUUGGAAGAAGAAAACUAUAAAUUGCUUCGAAACGGUAUCGGAGACCAAAUCAAUGAAGGAAAUAAUCCUAGCUUGUGCGAUGGAUUCGUGCGUUGCGACUACUGGUAACUGGGGGUGUGCAAAUUAACUUUGCCGACUACCGACGCAUAAACGAGACGAGCGGUAGGGCUGUCGAAACGGUGGCCACGCUAGCGGUUUAACUCGGGCUAGGGGCAAACUUCACCAAGCGCUUGGAAUUAUGAAAACAUGCAUGUACUCACGGUUCGUUUGCGACACGCGGCCGUCUAACUCCUGCGGACUCCGGAAAAACGCCUAUUCGAUCGUUGCCGUCGUGCUUC